rnacentral:tRNA from 1 species
AAUUAUUUUCUUUAUUGGUAAAGUAAAUGUUUUGAAAGCAUUAAAAAAGAGUUCAAUUCCCUUAAUAAUUA